rnacentral:rRNA from 1 species
UAGGGAAUCUUCCACAAUGGACGCAAGUCUGAUGGAGCAACGCCGCGUGAGUGAAGAAGGUUUUCGGAUCGUAAAGCUCUGUUGUUGGUGAAGAAGGAUAGAGGUAGUAACUGGCCUUUAUUUGACGGUAAUCAACCAGAAAGUCACGGCUAACUACGUGCCAGCAGCCGCGGUAAUACGUAGGUGGCAAGCGUUGUCCGGAUUUAUUGGGCGUAAAGCGAGCGCAGGCGGAAGAAUAAGUCUGAUGUGAAAGCCCUCGGCUUAACCGAGGAAAUGCAUCGGAAACUGUUGUUCUUGAGUGCAGAAGAGGAGAGUGGAAUUCCAUGUGUAGCGGUGGAAUGCGUAGAUAUAUGGAAGAACACCAGUGGCGAAGGCGACUCUCUGGUCUGCAACUGACGCUGAGGCUCGAAAGCAUGGGUAGAGAACAGG